rnacentral:piRNA from 1 species
UNGACAUAGCCUAUCCUUUUUCUGGUAUCC